rnacentral:lncRNA from 1 species
ACUGAGUAGUUUUUUCCUCAGUGUGGGUGUUUUUUGUACACGACUGUACAGACGUGAGUGUUCAUAGUUAUGCUUGUGUGUGAUUCAAACGUGGUCGUGGGCUCACUUCCUUCACGUCAUGUACCUCCCAAAAUCUGAGAACUCUGACCUCAUUUGUGUCUCGUCUGACUCUACGUGCACAGCUCAGAUCAGUGGUACUCUCAUCCUGUAUCUGUGUCUCUGAUUCAUAAAAACUCAGGACAAACCAGAGCGAUGCCUCGUUCAUUCUUGGUGAAACGAUGUGGGCUCAGCCACCUUCGAGCCACAACCACCACUUACAUCCAUGGAUGCACCUCCAGGACAUUAGAUCCACUAGAACUAAAGACAGGAUCCUGGGCAGGGCCCCUGUUUGAGCAUAAGGUUUCUGCUGUCAACUGCAAGUAUGAGAGGGAGAAGCUCCAGCUGUUUGGAGGGGAUCCUCAUGUCUCCUGCAGUACGAUCAGCUCAAAUGCUUCAGUCCCAGAGGAGAACAUGGCCUUUGCACCCCCAACACAGUCAGCGUGGACUGAUCCUCACGUGAGAACACACAUUUUCAUCUCCAAGACAAACUUGUCCACUCUGUGGGCUUGGAUCAAAAGAGGAAUAUUUAAACCUAUUUGCAUUCAUAACAGUGUCACUCAGUU